GACUCUCGGCAACGGAUAUCUUGGCUCUCGUCACGAUGAAGAACGUAGCGAAAUGCGAUAGUUGGUGUGAAUUGCAGAAUCCCGUGAAUCAUCGAGUUUUUGAACGCAAGUUGCGCCCGAGGCCAUUCGGCCAAGGGCACGUCUGCCUGGGCGUC
rnacentral:rRNA from 1 species